UACGUAGGUGGCAAGCGUUGUCCGGAUUUAUUGGGUUUAGAGGGUGCGUAGGCGGUUCUAUAAGUCAGUGGUGAAAUCCGGCAGCUCAACUGUCGAUGUGCCAUUGAUACUGCAGAACUUGAGUACAGACGAGGUAGGCGGAAUUGACGGUGUAGCGGUGAAAUGCUUAGAUAUCGUCAAGAACACCGAUAGCGAAGGCAGCUUACUAGACUGUAACUGACGCUGAUGCACGAAAGUGUGGGGAUCAAACAGG
rnacentral:rRNA from 1 species